rnacentral:lncRNA from 1 species
UAAGAUUGGACAAGGUAGUCAUGCAGUUGAGGAUGAGCCGCUGGACAAGUAUGUAGUGUGGGCGGAGUUAGUUGCAUUUGAGCCAAUCCAGCAUGUUGCCCAGGAUGAGUCAGAGACUGAGAUGAAUCCCAUAGAGGAUCCUGAUUCUGAGCCAAAGAUGGAACCAUAGGAGGACCCAAUAUCCGAGGAGAUGGGUCCGAUAUAGUAUGAG